UUCUGAGAGGUUAGACUUGUGGAGGCUUUUAUGACGAAAAAAGCUGUGAUUUAUAAUUGAAAAUGAACACUUUAAAAAUAUUAAUAUAAGUUUUAGAAUUCGGUAGUGUUAAGGUGUAAUAUAGUAUAUUAGCAAUUCGUAUAAAGUGUAUUUGUUAUAGGUUAAUGGUACUUGCAGUGCCACAUAUUGGCAGUUACAUUAUUAAGUUUUAAUUUAGUAGGUAUUUGCUAAUGGCAAACCACUUCUGGAUCGAAAGAUUUGAGGUUUUCACAGCGGUGAGUAUGAAGAUUUCUGUCUUCUGGGUUGUUGCGCUGUGUAGAGGUCAUACUGCCUCCGAUUACAUGGCUCCUGAGAUAGUCGAAGGCAAAGGACAUACCACGGUAAGUUCGUUAAGCAAGGACAAUCCGACAAUAAUGAUUUCACUGUUUAACAUGACUGAACCAACAGUAAUAAACAAAUCAAUCAUCGCAGUGUAAUAAUCUGAGGGUAUGGAUGCAUAAUUACAAAUUCCAUGAGAUGUUAUUCUGCCAAUGCCCUUCCCCUACCCCCAGGAGGUGCCAACAUUGAAAAAUGGUUUUAAAAUGAGUGUGUUUACCAACUGCUCAUAACAUGCUCAGUGCACAUUGCAGGUGUCAGAACCUUUCAUUUGUAUUUGGUGUAGUUAACUUUGUGCCAUCUGGUGUGGGUACUGUUACAUAUUUGUCAGAAAAUGUUAUUUAAGGCGCACUUAGUGAAGAAACACUGAAAUGGGUAAUGAUUAUUCUGUAGUCUUUGUCACUUUAUCCACCCAAACAGGAAAGUGGCUUACAGUAUCAAUUUUUCCUCCAAAAUCUCCCAAAAUAUGGUGAAAUAUAUUACUCCUUACAUACAAACUUGAGAUUUAAAGAAUAUAAGUAGUGAAUGAAGAGCCUUUGAAUUAAAGUACAGACAAACCGUUUUGGUAACAGGGAUUAGUACGAUGGAUAAUAAAGCAAUUUUAAGGUUCUGACGCAGCAACAACUAUGCAGAUCAUAUGAAAACAUGGCACAGUAUUUGCCUGGUUGGACUAAAACUGAUACCAAUGUGAACUACGUAACUGGAGAAUUCAUAUAUAUAAUACAUUGGAAUAGUCCUUAAAAGCUUAUGGGAAUAAAUUAACAACACUUCAUUCAUUCCACAGCUUUUGAUUUUCUUGAAUUCUUGUUAAAGUGCAAGAGUCUUUAGAAAUUAAAAGUGUCUGAUUUUGUCUGUUUCCCCAAAUUUGUUUUUGUUGCAGGCGUUGACUGGUGGAGUCUGGGUAUCAUCGUGUACGAGAUGCUCACAGGAUUCACACCAUUUGAAGCAGAAGGUGACAUGAAUGACAACUUUGUGGAGCUCUGUGAACGAAUAUAGACCAAGAACCCGAAGAUGCUGAGGAAGAUUUCCUUCUGAAGUGGCGGACUUCACACAGUUGUUUGUGAAAGACCCACAGAACCGUUUAGGUGGAAGGAAGAACGGUGUGAAGGACAUCAAGAGUCAUCCAUUCUUCAACAAUAUCAACUGGGCUGAUAUCGCAAGAAAGGCCGUGAUAGCUCCGUAUCAGCCACCUCUUGAUGAUGUAAUCUUUCUGAGCACUGGGGAUAAUCGCCAUCAUCCGUCCUCUGCUCAAUCCCAGGAUUGUGACACGACUUCCAAGAAUGAGACUUCCAUGAUGAAUGCCAUAUUGGGAUCAAGUGAGAAGUUGACUGCUCCACCUACACGCAAACUUUCCACCGCCACUUCAUGCUCAGAGUCUACACCCACAACACAAACGACGGAGAAUCCUACAGUAGUUGGGAAGACGUAGUCAUCUUCUAACACGACGCCACAGAAGAGGAAGCUGAGCGGCUCGGAAGAGAGCGGAAGGCUACCCAAGAGACGACGAAUUGCCAACACCAGAGGUCGACGAAAGAGAGGGGAACAGAGUCGAAUGAGAGAGGAAAAAAAAAUCUGAAAUGAUUGCAAAGGCUGUCCAAAUAACAACAGUACUUAUGAAGUGAUCAUGUAUCGGUUUCGUGCUGAAAAACAAACUUUUAGGACCCCUAUACUCUGAAGUAUGUCAGCAAAGGCAUUAGUAAAAAAAGACGGGUGUGAGUGUUUAUGUGUGACGCAUGUAUUCAGGCAGGUAGCUGACUACUCCUGCCCAUAACUAUGGAACCAAUAACCCCAGCGCGAUGACCUUGGUCUCUAACUGACGAUGUUCCAACCCUGUUGUAUCCCCUGGAGCAAGUGCCUGGGAGUCUAAAUGUAAAUGCGUGACAUCUCAGUCACAAUGGACCGGCCGUCGAUCAGUCGUGUUUUGACAGACGCGGAGCAAAUCCUGGUGCUAGAUGAAGUUUUAGAAGAUGAAUCUUCAAGUUAAUUUUAUUUCGUCUGAGUCUGAAAAUGUAGUAGACAUUGACUACACUCAGUUGGUGAACAUAACUGAACGUAAUAAUUCAGAAAGUGACAGUGACAAUGGUAGUGUCGAGAGGGCUGAAGUGGGUGUCCGUCCGUCACUUGAGCCCCCACCUAAGAGACUCUCAGAACGACAUUUCCCGGAGCGUAUACCACCCACAGGCAAAAAGGCAAAACCUCAAAGGAGAUGUGUGGUGUGUACGAAACACGGGAUGAGGAAAGACUAAAAAUAUUGGUGUAGUGAAUGUGGGGCAGGGUUGUGUAUAGAUGGAUGUUUCAAGAACUAUCACAUGAAAUUGAAAUUCUAAACCACCUGCUUCUAUUCCUCACACACAGAGUGCUCAUCUUAUAAGGUAAGAUUAUAAAACCAUCUUUUAAAAGGA